rnacentral:lncRNA from 1 species
GUCCUUCCAUCUCAUGAACUUCAUCAAGUUCAAUUUUACAGGCAUUAACUCCUUCACCAAGAAACUCCUUUUCCAAAAAGACUGCCCGGAUGCUGACAAACACCUUUUGUUCUGCAGCAAAGAAGUAGUACUCUUUAGUUUUCUUUGGGUACCCUACAAACAAGCAUCUAUCGAACUUCGGUUCAAGCUUAUCUGUCUUUAAAUGCUUGACAUAAGCUGGACACUAUCAGACCCUA